rnacentral:lncRNA from 1 species
GACCGUACUCAUCAACCGUUACAUUAUAAAGACCACACCGACACUCGGUGCAUCCUUGUUUAUCCACAACCCCUCUAGUGUCAAUAGCGUGAAUAUUUAGAAGCCAUUUGAACUCAUACCCAUCAGGUACUUUCUCCGGGUUACCGAUCUCGAUCGCGUAAGGAUCAGGAACAUACGUCGAAGUCUUGCGUGUUUCUGAUCCUAACCCAAAGUAUUGUCUAACUCUGUUCCUACACAACCCUCCGUUACUAACGAGAAUAUAAUCAGGGCUCGAACCAAGGUUCCUAGGCGUGUCUAGGUGCGAAAGGUUGAGACCUUUACGCACGUAGUAAGGGUGCACAACCCAGUGGUGGAGAUAUGUCUCGUGUAACGGGACGGGGUUACCGUCUUGGUCGACUACUUCGGCGUCGAAACCUUUGAGGCCGAUGUGGCCUCUAGGGAAAUCGAUGUCGAACAGGUAAGGGUCUGCGACUGAUCCUGGAGUCAUGACUUGUUUUGGUGAUAGGAAACUUGCGGACUUGAUGUUAAUGCUGUGGCUAGGCGAUAUGCUUAACGCGACCAGAAGAAGAAGUAAGGACGAGAUGAUCAGGUAACAACGAGCCAUUUUGUCCUGUUUCGAUAUCGUUAUAGAGAGGUAAUAAAUGAAGUAAAACUGAUAAAAUACGUAAUCAUGAACCGGUUUGACCUAAACCGAGAUCUGUUACCGGCAGUUUACCUGCAAGAAGCUCUCCGGUCCAGGCAGCUGCUGAGAAACGAGGAUGUAAAAGAGUCCCAUGACUCCUGUAUGACCAAUGACAUUACUGUAAUUGAACUCCAAAGACAGUGUCUCUCCAUUAGUCACUUUCACCGGUUCAGGAUAACAAGACGACAUUCCAACGAUGUAACCAGCUUCGCUUCCAGGCUCAUCUCCAUUGCCAUACUUCGGCAUCGAGGAGCAUAUUACCUCACCGUCCUGAUCAAAAUCCAUAACACAAGAGUCUCAGUUUUUGAGUAAAAAGUUUUUGCCUUAGCUUAAAACCUUAGGUUGGGUGUUUAUACCCAAACCCGAAAUCCGAACUGAGACCAAACCAAAAUUCUAUCUAAACCAUCAUAAAAAAUAUCCAAAUAGAGUCUAAGAAUACUUUCGGACUCGGGUACAAUCCAAACCAAACUAAAAUCCGUACUAGAAUCCAAAAAAUCCACAUUAGUUAAUCUGUUAAUGUUUUUUUCUACAUAUGUUACGUUAAGAUAGUUUAGAAAUUUUUAAAAAAAUUAGAAUUUUUUGUAGUUUUUAUAGGAAUUGCGAAUCGUUAUUUUGGAAUACUUUUAAUUAGUUUAGGUAGCUUGACAAGUUUUUAAUCAGAUUUUUGAUUUUUUUGUAUAUUUUAAAUAUGUUUUUGUCAAUUUCAUUAAUUUUAUUUCCAGAUUUAAGUACGAUUUUUAGACAAUGGUUAUAAUUUGAUUUGAAUCAAACACAUACGAAAUCGAAUCAAACCCGAUCCAAAAACUAGUAAAAUAUGAAUAAGACCAUUGUGCAUGAUACCGAAAAUCCAAAACAAACCCCUAACAAGACACCAAACGUCCGGGCCUGUUAAAAACUAACCUCUCGGUACAGAGCUGCACCGAUACCACCUGCGUGCUGGUGAGCUACUCCAUAGACAAUAUACCCGUUAAACGGCAUCAUUAAGCUCUUUUUCUUAACAUCAACACACCCAUCACCCUUAGUUUUGCACGGUUUCACGUCAUAUUCCACCUGAAAAGAAAGCAAUUAAUACACCUUAGCUAACGUUUUUAAGUAAUAAAAGCAUUAAUAAGCAGAGAUGUGAAAAGUCUUUACUGACAUGACAAAAAUGUUCUUGGUUAUCUCCUGUUGAUCCUUCUGACCGUUCCCAAGAAUCCGUUACAUCGAGAAUAUAAACCUUAGCCGGCAACAAAACCGAGCUGUCCCAAUCAACCCAUCUCACAGUAUACUUAAGAUACACAGUUCUUGUUUUGUUUCCACUUUCGAAUCCGUUUCUUAACCGACAUUGAGUACUAUUAUAAGCUUUAGUUUGUUAACACUAUUAUACAAGAUUUGUAACAAACUUUAAGAUCAUUAAUGAAUAAAUCAACAUUCUUCUUUGAAUCAAGAACACUUCAAUAACUCCACUCUAAAUCAUCAUAAUCCAAUCAGAUCAGAACCAUAUACUAACCACAAACGCGUUUCAGAGAGUUUAGCGAUAUACAAUACCUUCGUAAUCACCAUUCUUCGAAACGAUCCAGCGACCAUCAAACGCCUCAUCGAACGAUUCAUACAACACCUGAACACAAAUCCAACGAGCUCAGAUCUAAAAAAUCUUCAGAUCUACGAUAACAUUCGGAAACAUUUUCCCGAGAAAAAUCGAAAUCUACCGUAUUAUCGUCGCAGUGGCAAAGGUUCUGGAGCGAGAGGAGAGCUAGGAUAAGCAUAAGGCCGGAGAAUAGCUGCCGGUCUCUCAUCAUCGGAACGGUUCGAGUAGAUCGGAGGGAGAAGAGAGAGAGAGAGAGAGAGAGUGGAAUCUAUUUUUUUUUUUUCCUGAAGAUUUUAGUUUCUCUGAGUGAUUUAUAUAUUUAAAUCCCGUAGACUCGGUCGAGUGUGUCGAUUUUUGUUGUUUCCACCAAUGAGAUCGCUCGCCACGUGGUGAGAGCCAAUAGAUGGACGCCACGUCAUGCGAAAGAGAGGUAUCCUACGUGCGCAAUUUGUAUUGCUACGUAAUGUGCAUGUUUAUUAUACAGAUAGUCUAACGUCAGUAUUGGGCUGGGCCUGUAAUCAAUUUAAAAGUCUCUGGUAGAGUAAGAGUCUUCUAGAAGCAAAAGUAACACAUUUAUCAGGAACAAAGAACCAAAUCAAACUAAACUAAAAAAAAUGAGGUUUGGUUCGGAUUUAGAUCAUAUAAUACACGAAUGAACGGAUCCUAUAACUUUUGAACUGAAAAACCAAAACCAAACUGGAGCAAACAAAGACCCGAAUGGAUACCCGAAUUUUUAUAAUAUAAUAUAUACACUUAUAAAUAUUAACUACAUUUAGUUUCAAAAUGAUAAAAUAAUUUGAAAUACUAUUUCUAAAAACUAAAUCUCCAAAUACAUUUUAUCCGAAAUAUUUUAAAUUAUUUGAACUAUCCAAAUUUUACCUAAAUUAUUGGAUAAAAAUCUAACAUUUAGUAAAAAAAAGACUGAAUUUACUUACUUUUUUUUGAAACACAUCUGAAUUUUCUUACUUUUAACAAAACUUAACAAAAAAACUAAAAUCGAACGGCUAACGAAUAUGAUCCAAAAAUGACCUCGGAUAUUAUUCGGUUUUUAAUUUUGUUAUCUAAACUAAACUGAAAAAUGAAAUAACCGAAUCAGAACCAAAGUGAAUCCUAAACAUCUAAAACUGAAAAGCAGAAAAAAUCGAAAGAACCGAACCGGAACCGAAUCCAAAAUUCUUUAGCGGAGCAAGAGUCUCUAUUGGGCUGGGCCUACUAAUCAAUUUGAAAGUCUCUAGCUGAGCAAGAGUCUUCCACAUACCAUUGACAAAAGCAAACUUUUUACACACGUAAGUCGUAAUAACCAUUACAGAAAUGUCACACACUAGUGGAAGAGUACAAGAUACUUUGUUAUUUUAAUAUUUGGUAUUAGAAAAAGUGGAAAACUAUAAAAUGUUGAAGAUGAAUAUCUAUAGUUUUACUGUUUAGGUACUAAGUGAUUGGUAACCAUCUUCCCGGUUCUUUCUCCGGUAUACCACGGCGACUAUUAGAACCACAACCGCCACCGUCACUGCAAGAAAGGCUAAAAAGCUCAUACUGCUCGAAUGUGCCUGCAAAGAAAUAAUGAAUACUGACGUUAAGUAAAGUAACACACAUGGUAAUAACCGGUUUGACCUAAACCGAGAUCUGUUACCGGCAGUUUACCUGCAAGAAGCUCUCCGGUCCAGGCAGCUGCUGAGAAACGAGGAUGUAAAAGAGUCCCAUGACUCCUGUAUGACCAAUGACAUUACUGUAAUUGAACUCCAAAGACAGUGUCUCUCCAUUAGUCACUUUCACCGGUUCAGGAUAACAAGACGACAUUCCAACGAUGUAACCAGCUUCGCUUCCAGGCUCAUCUCCAUUGCCAUACUUCGGCAUCGAGGAGCAUAUUACCUCACCGUCCUGAUCAAAAUCCAUAACACAAGAGUCUCAGUUUUUGAGUAAAAAGUUUUUGCCUUAGCUUAAAACCUUAGGUUGGGUGUUUAUACCCAAACCCGAAAUCCGAACUGAGACCAAACCAAAAUUCUAUCUAAACCAUCAUAAAAAAUAUCCAAAUAGAGUCUAAGAAUACUUUCGGACUCGGGUACAAUCCAAACCAAACUAAAAUCCGUACUAGAAUCCAAAAAAUCCACAUUAGUUAAUCUGUUAAUGUUUUUUUCUACAUAUGUUACGUUAAGAUAGUUUAGAAAUUUUUAAAAAAAUUAGAAUUUUUUGUAGUUUUUAUAGGAAUUGCGAAUCGUUAUUUUGGAAUACUUUUAAUCAGUUUAGGUAGCUUGACAAGUUUUUAAUCAGAUUUUUGAUUUUUUUUUUUGUAUAUUUUAAAUAUGUUUUUGUCAAUUUCAUUAAUUUUAUUUCCAGAUUUAAGUACGAUUUUUAGACAAUGGUUAUAAUUUGAUUUGAAUCAAACACAUACGAAAUCGAAUCAAACCCGAUCCAAAAACUAGUAAAAUAUGAAUAAGACCAUUGUGCAUGAUACCGAAAAUCCAAAACAAACCCCUAACAAGACACCAAACGUCCGGGCCUGUUAAAAACUAACCUCUCGGUACAGAGCUGCACCGAUACCACCUGCGUGCUGGUGAGCUACUCCAUAGACAAUAUACCCGUUAAACGGCAUCAUUAAGCUCUUUUUCUUAACAUCGACACACCCAUCACCCUUAGUUUUGCACGGUUUCACGUCAUAUUCCACCUGAAAAGAAAACAAUUAAUACACCUUAGCUAACGUUAAAAGCAUUAAUAAGCAGAGAUGUGAAAAGUCUUUACUGACAUGACAAAAAUGUUCUUGGUUAUCUCCUGUUGAUCCUUCUGACCGUUCCCAAGAAUCCGUUACAUCGAGAAUAUAAACCUUAGCCGGCAACAAAACCGAGCUGUCCCAAUCAACCCAUCUCACAGUAUACUUAAGAUACACAGUUCUUGUUUUGUUUCCACUGUCGAAUCCGUUUCUUAACCGACAUUGAGUCUUAUCGUAGCAGCAGUCUUGACCUCCUUUGUAUCCAGGUUCUAAAGCUCGACCGUACUCAUCAACCGUUACAUUAUAAAGACCACACCGACACUCGGUGCAUCCUUGUUUAUCCACAACCCCUCUAGUGUCAAUAGCGUGAAUAUUUAGAAGCCAUUUGAACUCAUACCCAUCAGGUACUUUCUCCGGGUUACCGAUCUCGAUCGCGUAAGGAUCAGGAACAUACGUCGAAGUCUUGCGUGUUUCUGAUCCUAACCCAAAGUAUUGUCUAACUCUGUUCCUACACAACCCUCCGUUACUAACGAGAAUAUAAUCAGGGCUCGAACCAAGGUUCCUAGGCGUGUCUAGGUGCGAAAGGUUGAGACCUUUACGCACGUAGUAAGGGUGCACAACCCAGUGGUGGAGAUAUGUCUCGUGUAACGGGACGGGGUUACCGUCUUGGUCGACUACUUCGGCGUCGAAACCUUUGAGGCCGAUGUGGCCUCUAGGGAAAUCGAUGUCGAACAGGUAAGGGUCUGCGACUGAUCCUGGAGUCAUGACUUGUUUUGGUGAUAGGAAACUUGCGGACUUGAUGUUAAUGCUGUGGCUAGGCGAUAUGCUUAACGCGACCAGAAGAAGAAGUAAGGACGAGAUGAUCAG